rnacentral:rRNA from 1 species
GGUGGGCCGCUCCUCUCGGGGCCAGCUUUUUUUUUUUUUCUUUUUCCACCGAAAACCCCGCAAGCCAAAAAAACCAUAACUUCGGCCUUUUAAAAGGUUUUUUAAAGGGUGGGGGUUUAGCACCCACUUAACCCCCUUGUUUUUUCCCGGAACGGUUUCCCAAAAUAGGGUUGAAAAUAAAAAAAAAGGGGGCUUUUUGUAGGGGGCUUGCCCAAAAACCCCCUCUUGGGUUUAAAAAAAAAGAAUUGCCCAACCUUUUUGGCUGCCGUUUCCCGAACAACCCUUGGGUUGGCCGGGGCGGCCCCAAAUUAACCUUUUAAAGGCGGGGUGUUCCAGGGCAAAAAACCGAAGGGACCCAGGACCGCCCCAAUAAAACCCAAGGCAAAAGGCCUGGGGGUUACCAAAUUGACCCCUAGAAACGGGGCUUCCCCCCUGGGGAAAUACCCGAAAGGGCCCCCAAUUUGCCUUUUAAUAGGUUGCGGUGAUUCCCAUUGAAUUUUUUGCAAUUUCCCCAUCUACCUUAAGCGCAUUUCCGUUGCUUUUUUUAAUCGAACCCAGAACCCCAAAGUUCCGGUGUUGAAAGUGGUAUUUCUUUAAUCUGUUACCGACGCUGACUGCAAUUACCAAAAGGUUUAUGUUUGUUCCAGUGGUGGCGAACCCACCCAGGGAAACCAGACUUACGCCAAAGACCAGGGGGGAAUACUUUAGGCAGGGCGGUAAACCCCAAGGGGUUCCCCCCCCGCCCUUAAAAAUUUGGGAAAUGAUCCCCCUUUUCCUAGGGGGGGGGAAUGCGGAGGGAUCAUUACCCAAAUAUGAAGGCGGGCUGGAACCUCUCGGGGUUACAGCCUUGCUGAAUUAUUCACCCUUGUCUUUUGCGUACUUCUUGUUUCCUUGGUGGGUUCGCCCACCACUAGGACAAACAUAAACCUUUUGUAAUUGCAAUCAGCGUCAGUAACAAAUUAAUAAUUACAACUUUCAACAACGGAUCUCUUGGUUCUGGCAUCGAUGAAGAACGCAGCGAAAUGCGAUAAGUAGUGUGAAUUGCAGAAUUCAGUGAAUCAUCGAAUCUUUGAACGCACAUUGCGCCCUUUGGUAUUCCAAAGGGCAUGCCUGUUCGAGCGUCAUUUGUACCCUCAAGCUUUGCUUGGUGUUGGGCGUCUUGUCUCUAGCUUUGCUGGAGACUCGCCUUAAAGUAAUUGGCAGCCGGCCUACUGGUUUCGGAGCGCAGCACAAGUCGCACUCUCUAUCAGCAAAGGUCUAGCAUCCAUUAAGCCUUUUUUUCAACUUUUGACCUCGGAUCAGGUAGGGAACCCAACUC